rnacentral:rRNA from 1 species
GACGGAGGAUGCAAGCGUUAUCCGGAAUGAUUGGGCGUAAAGCGUCCGCAGGUGGCAGUUCAAGUCUGCUGUCAAAGACCGGGGCUUAACUUCGGAAAGGCAGUGGAAACUGAACAGCUAGAGUAUGGUAGGGGCAGAGGGAAUUCCUGGUGUAGCGGUGAAAUGCGUAGAGAUUGGGAAGAACACCCGUGGCGAAAGCGCUCUGCUGGACUGCAACUGACAUUGAGGGACGAAAGCUAGGGGAGCGAAUGGG